rnacentral:lncRNA from 1 species
CAUGUAACGCUUUUUCUUAUUUUUCUCUCGUAAACAAGUGUGUAACAAUUUUUUGUCUCAAUGUUUCGCCCAUAAUUGGGUAAUUCUCUUAUGCUUAAUUAAUCGGUCGUGGGGCUUUGAUCUCCUCUUUUGAAAAGAAAAUGAAGUGGACAAGCCGUAAAGGAUAAAUCAGAUUACACCAUCUUGAUUCCUGAGACUCAUUCAAAGUUCCUAGUGCUAGAAAAUGCAGGCUUUUGUGAAAUCAACUUGCUUUUGAAUAUUUCUUUCAGGCUUCCAUUGUACGAGUUCCGCCAGCCAACAGCACUGACGAAUUCUCGAAGAGAAAAAAACAGCACUGACGAACUUUUUGCAAAUCCUGCGAAUUAUUCCUGGAUCAGAAAAUACAACUGUGUCAUCGACUUGUGACUUCAUAUAACACUGAAUGCCAAGUACAGAUCGGGGCCCAAAAACAUCAGUUCGUGUCAACUUUUCUGGAGCACGGACAAAGAUCACGGGCGAGAAAUACAGGCGUGCGUACCAUAUGAACGCUUAAAAUGCUUGAAGGUCCAAAUUGAAGCAGACGGUGUUUCUGUUUCAGGCCAUGCAACUUUAUUUUUCUUGAACAUGCAUUACCGACAUCAUGAUGGGCAAUGAACUCCUCUUCUACAAAAAUAAAUAAAUUAUACUGUAUACUUAAAAAAAGAAGUAAGUAUGCAUUAUGCUUACUUGGUGCCUCUGAUUAUACAGCAAAACAAUUUACUGUUCUCUCGACGAUGCAACACAAAGCUCUAAACAAUAAAGAUAGAAUUAGCAAAUAUUUGCAACGUUAUGAUCUCAAAUUCUUAAGCCCUUGCAUGAUGAUGGACGACACUAAAUUAUUUCUUAAUAGCUACAACUAAUUAAAAAUGUUUGUGAAGUUUGAUUAUGAAUACUUAUAACAUUUUUUUGGGUAGAACUGGAGUCCUUGUCAGCAAAGUGUCAAAAAAGAAUCAUGCCCAAUCCAACUUCAAGGUCCCGUUUAGGGAGAACAAUGUUGAAUGAUGAUGCAACAUCACCGGCGUACAAGGCACGAAUUUCAGUGAAUUCGUCUGUCAGGGGACACACACGGUAUUUCAGUGAAUUCUUCUGUCAGGGGACACACACGGUAAGAGUUGCAUUGCAAAGUCACAUGCCAGGUCAGUAAAUUCAGGAGCUACCUGACUAGCUCACCAAGCACAGUACACUCUACACUUCUUCCUUUUGAAUGGAAUCGCUCAUGCUCAGAGGCUAGCGGCGCACGAUUUAUCUGUAGAAAACAUAAAUAAGUAUUACCAGUGUAUAUAAUAUAUUACAUCCGUAUUCUUAGAUUUAUCUAGAUAUAGAUGUAUCUAACACUAAAAAGUGUCUAGGUACAUCAGUACCUAGGUAAAUCCAAGACUAGUAAUUUGAGACGGAGAGAGUAAGGAACAGAAGUGUAAGUUAGUGCGUAAAAGAGAAGGAAAGAAAGAUGUGGUAACAAAACUUUGAGGAUAAUCUUAUUUCUUGCCUCAUGUAGCCGAUCAAUUGGUCACUGUGAUUUUUGCCACUAAUGGUGAUAUACUUCCACGUAAUUCACUGAAUGUUGAUAAAAACAACUAAAUACCCACGUACUAUCUCCAUCCUGAUUUAUUGGUCUUUUAGUAUUUUGUGCCGAAUUUUGAUCAUGGAUUUAGUUAACUAAAUGUUAAUGUAUGUCACAAAAAAUAGUAUUAUUGAAAAUUAUAUUUAAAUACAAAUUCAAUGAUAUAAUUUUUUAUGACAUGCAUUAACAUUUUGUUAGUUAAACCUAUGGUCAAAUUUUGACACAAAAUAAGAAAAGGACCAAUAGAUCAGGACGGAGGUAGUAAAUUACAAUCAAUAUUUGAUGUGUACCAGACAAGUGAUUACACAUAUUAUGCUCCCCACAUAAGUUCACUACAAUGAAUUGAGUAUGCUGCUAGAGAUAAGAAUGCCAAGAGAAUGGUCUAGGGGGAGGCGACCUCGAUAUGCUCCGAGGAAACACUUCGGUGUCCUCCUUCCCCACGAUGUCAGCACAGGAGAAGUUCAUGUUCUUCUUAUGCUCCAGCAUCUCUAACCAUGGAGCCAUUAUUAUGUCUCCCGCAAAACCGGGGUCAUCAAAGGCUGGCUUGAGGAAAAUUAAAUCAUUCUUGAUUAUCCAGUUGUCGCACAACACUUUACAUCCAGUCUUUUCAAAGUUUCAUCAAAUGAUGCUAUUGCAAUGUGGAAGCAGUGCGAUGCAGCCCUGUCAUUGCACCAACAUUCUUGUCAUUCGAGUUUCCGAGCUGUAAGCUUGCCGUCCUCCUAGUCAUAGGCUUUGGCAUGAAGGGGGUGCCCAACAUUUUAUCAAGGCCUUCGGCAUUGUACUUCACAUACUUGUUCGCAUUGAUGUCCUGCUCAACAAGCGGCCCGUAGUUCUGCAUGAAGCUACGAUAAACAGGCACUAUAGCCUGCACCACAAGGUGGCACACCCUCUGCUGCAGAUCCUUGUCUAGUGUGAUCCAGGCGGACAUGCUUCUGAUACAUCUCAUCAAAGCUGGCGUUGAAUGAUUUGAGUCGUUGCUUCACCAAGUCUCUUGCUGUAGCCUGGCCCUUGGAGAACAAGAUCAGACACUCCCUGCUCAGCGGGGGCGUACGUGUUCCUCGGCUCUCCCUUAGAAACAGUGCCGCGUAGUGGUAACCUAUCGAUCCGCGAACCGGUCCGAACGUCCGCUCUCUCACAAAUCGAGUGAAGGAGGAGGGCUUUUGCGGUCGUCUGGAUUGCUGCCACGCACUCAUCCGACACCCCGGUCCCACCCGACCCACGCCCUCUUCCGCGUGAAGCGGUUGUCGCGUAUUCGUGCCACUCGAGACUGCCAGCACCACAUCCAUUUCGUCCCAGACCGGACGCGACCUCACACUCUCGGGGGAGGUUUGGCGGUUGGCGUUGGAGACGCCCUAAUUAGCUGGGUUUCUGAAAGUUAAUUAAGGUCAUGUGCUGGUAUAGUCUGGUAAUUAAGCAGCCAGCCAGCCACGCAUGCUCAGCCAGAGUGUCCAACGCCAGUGGUGGUAGUACUACUAGCACAGUAGUGGUAGUAGUAUUUAUUUACCAGCAAGUAGAACGCAAUGUGGAACCAGCACGCCGCUAGUCCAGAAGGUCAACUACAGCUAGCCUAAAUCAGGAAUUUGGACGCGACAGCCGCUCGCCGCUCGCCAGUCCGUUCCACGCUCCAUCACCCUCUUUUGGAACUGACCGUGCUCACGUACACCGCGCACAUCAGUCGGCGCACGGCGUACCGCUGGGUCAGCCGGUGGCGAUGGCGAUCACCAACCGUCCGGCCCGGCCAUUAACUAAGUUUACUCCACCGGCCCCUUCAAAAAAAAAAAAGUUUACUCCACCGGCCGAACUCACGCCCAACCAACCCACAUUGAAGCGCUCCAUCGACUGCACGCCAACAUGGCAGCGGCUUCGGCCGGGACAGAAGCUUCCGGUGCGUGCCGAUCCACGUUGCUUCCACGGCAUCCUUUCCUUUGUGGUAUCAAGUUUCCCAUGCCCCGUCGCAUACAGACGUGAACUCCGCUGGCGUGCACCCACACCCAGGUAGACACGGCUCGGGUGCACCCAACCCAACUCGCUGGCGUGUCAGCGUGCGGGCGAGCAACAAAAGUGGCAAAGUAGCACCCCCACGCACAAAGCGGUGGCAUCCAUCCGUCCGUCCAAUCCGAGUGCGCGUCCAGCAGAGAGAGCCUGGCCCUGGCGUGAGUGCGUGACAGAUUGAAGUGAGCGUAGGCAGUAAUUGCGGUGAAAGAAACUCGCAGGGACGCACGCACAGUGGUAAACAUCAACGACGUAAACAACCUCGGAGCCGCCCUGACAGCAACCACAGACCGGAGCGGAGCAGGACCAGCGCGAGCCGAGCGGCGGAGGCCGGAGCGCGUGCCUUCAGUUUCGACUCUCCCUCCCUCGCUCCCGUGGAAAAACUCUCCCCUUUUCCGCCUCCCCCUUUCUUUCCAAGUCCAACCUAAACCUCAGCCCCGCUCCACCUCCCCCCGCCUCUGCCCCGCACGCCACACCACAGCACCCACCUCUCCGGACGGGCGCCCGUCGCCGUCGCCAUCGCCUUUUCCCCCUCCCUCCCUCCCCGCGCCGGAUAAGUAGUACGCACUCGCUUGCAAGGGACGCCGGACCUCGAGCUCCCACCGGCCGGCAGAUUGAUUCCUACACCAAUUCCUGCGAGCCAGAGCGAGGGACAAGCCCGCCCGCGGCCGUGGGCGUCGAGCGGUCCGUCCGACGCGCAUUCGGAGGGCGAGGCCGUGCGCUACCACCGGGGGAUGGGGAUGGAUCAGGGGGCGGAGGAGGCGCGGCGGAUGGCGAGCCUGCAGGCGGCGCGGAGCGCGCUGCGGGCCGGGGUGGAGCGGUCGCGGGCGCUGAGCCACGCGCUGGCGCGGACGGGGGCCCGGGUCGGGGAGAUCCAGGCGCGGCUGGCGGCCACGGAGGCCGGGGUGCGCCCGAUCCGCGCGCCGCGGGACGCGCUCGAGGGGGCCGGCCCCAACAUCGACCGCGCCGUGGGGCCCGCCGCGGCCGUCCUCAAGGUGUUCGACGCCGUGCACGGCCUCGAGCCGCCGCUCCUCGCCGGGGCCGCCGCCCGGGAGGACCUCCCGGGCUACCUCGCCCUCGUCGCCCGCCUCGAGGAGGCGCUCCGCUUCCUCGCCGACAACUGCGGCCUCGCCGUCGACUGGCUCUCCGACAUCGUCGACUACCUCGGCAAGCGCAGCCUCGCCGACCCUCGCUUCGUGGCCGGCCUCGCCGGGGCGCUCUCGAAACUCAAGGGCGUCCCCGCAGCCGACCUCGACGCCGGCCUCCUCACCGCCGCCCUCGACGUGCUCGAGGCCGAGUUCUGCCGCCUCCUCGCCGAGCACUCUGCUCCGCUCGCGAUGCAGGAGGACCCCGACAAGGCCAAGCCCGCACCCGCCUCCAUCACGCCGCCGAGGAUCCCCGCCGCCGCCGUGCAGAAGCUGGGCCUCACCCUUGACCGCCUCGCCGCUAAUGGGCGGCUCAGCUACUGCGUGGCGGCGUACGCCGACGCUCGCGGGGACACGGUGAGCGCCAGCCUCCACGCGCUCGGCCUGGAUUACCUGCAAGACCAGACGCAGGAUGCUCAGGCGCUGAGCCCGAGCGUCGAGCUCUGGGGCCGGCAUUUGGAGUUCGCGGUGCGCCACCUAUUGGAAGCUGAGCGGAAGCUCUGUGUUGCUGUCUUCGAGCGCUGGCCAGAAGCCGCGGCCGCUUGCUUCGCGGACAUUGCGGCGCGCGCUGGAAUUCUUGAUUUCCUCAAGUUUGGCCGUGCCGUGGCUGAUGCCAAGAAGGACCCCAUCAAGCUCCUGAGGCUGCUUGAUGUGUUUGAUUCUCUCAGCAAGCUCAGAUUGGACUUCAACCGGUUGUUUGGUGGAAAGGCAUGCCUGGAGAUCCAAAGCAGGACCAGAGAGCUUGUGAAGAGGGUGGUGGAUGGCUCUGUUGAGAUUUUUGAGGAGUUGCUGGUGCAGGUGGAGCUGCAGCGCAAGAUGCCACCCCCAGCUGACGGCGGAGUGCCAGGCCUGGUUACCUUCGUCCCCAAGUACUGCAACCAGCUCCUUGGGGAGCAAUAUCGGCCUGUGCUCACACAAGUGCUCACCAUCCACCGCAGCUGGCGCAAGGAGGCGUUCAACGACAAGAUGCUCGUCGAUGCAGUGCACAACAUUGUUAAGGCCCUGGAGGCCAACUUCGACACAUGGGCAAAGGCGUAUGAGGAUAAGACACUGUCAUCUCUCUUCAUGAUGAACACACAUUCGCACUUCUUCAAGCACCUGAAGAGCACUAAGAUGGGGGAGAUCUUAGGCGAUGAGUGGCUCCGGGAGCAUGAGCAGUACAAGGACUACUACUCGGCAUUGUUUCUAAGGGAGAGCUGGGGAACGCUUGCGCCGCUGCUGAGCAGGGAGGGUCUGAUCUUGUUCUCCAAGGGUCAGGCUACAGCAAGGGACUUGGUGAAGCAGCGGCUCAAAUCGUUCAACGCCAGCUUCGAUGAGAUGUACCAGAAGCAGUCCGCGUGGAUCAUACCGGACAAGGAUCUGCAGCAGAGGGUGUGCCACCUUGUGGUGCAGGCUAUAGUGCCUGUUUACCGUAGCUUCAUGCAGAACUACGGGCCGCUUGUCGAGCAGGACAUCAGCGCGAGCAAGUACGUCAAGUACAGCGCUGAAGGCCUUGACAAGAUGCUUAGCACCCUCUUCAUGCCGAAGCUUAGGACUAGGAGGACUGCAAGCAUGCAGAUCAGAAACUCAAAUGGCAAGAUUGCCAGUGCAGUGACUGGGCUGCAGCGGAGUGCUUCAACAUUGCAAUAGCAUCAGUUGAAGAAACUCCAGAAAGAUUGGAUGUACAGUAGUGUUGUGCAAUAACUGAAUAAUCAAAGAAUGAUUUAAUUUAUUUCGAGCCAGGCGUUGAAGAUCCCGGUUGUGCGGGAGACAUAGUAAUCGCUCGAUGAUAAUAAGAGCUGCUGGAGCAUAGUAAGAACAUAGACUUCUCCAGCACUGACAUAGUGGGGGGAGAAGGAAACUGAAAUCUUUCCUCAGAGCAUAUGGAUGCCCCCUUCCCCUAGAUCAUUAUAUUCGCAUUCUUAUCUCUAGCAUUCAUAUACUCUAUUUGUUUUAGGAAACUUAUGUGUGGAGCAUAAGAUGUGUAAUCAGUUGUCUGGUAUAUGUCAAAGAUUGGUUGUAAUUUAGGUGGGUAUUUAGUUGUUUUUAUCAAUGUUCAUUGAAUUAUAUGGAAGUAAGUGUAUUACUGCCUGUGACAAAAAUGACUGAUCAAUUGACUGACUAACAUGAGGCAAGAAAACAGUCUAUCUUCGAAGUUUCGGUUCCACAUGUUUCUUUCUUUCUCUUUACGCACUAACUUACCGUUUUGUUACCUAUUAUGUAUAUACUGCUACUUCUGUAUGCUCUGUUCUACAGAUAAAUCAUGCGCCCGUGUGCGGCGCUAGCCUCUGAACACGAGUGUUUCAUGCGAAAAGAAUUAGUGAACAGUUUACCUUGCUUGGUGAGCUAGUCAGGUAGCUCCAGAAUUUACUGACCUGGCAUAUAUAUAACUUUGCAAUGUAACCUGAAUUUACUGACCUGGUAUAGACUUUGCAAUGCAACUGCUAACUGUGUGUGUCCAGUCACAGAAGAAUGGACUGAAAUUCGUACCUUGUACGCCGGUGAUGGUUCUUCCUCAACGCGGUCUUGAAUUUCAAUUGAGCAUGAUUCUUUUUUGACACUUCGCUAACAAGGACUCCAGUUCUACCAAAAAAAAAGAGGAGAUGUUGUCUCAGUAUUUGUAAUCGAAUUUCACAACCACUUCUCAUUUGUAUAGCUACUAAGAAAUUUGAGGGUCGACCAUCAUCAUGAAGGGCUUAAAAAUUGGGAAACUCUUACCAUCACCCGGCAGAUCGCAGCGUCCGCGUCCGCCACCUCCCCUGCCUUGCACGUGUCCCAGUGAGAGCUCACACACCAUCCUUUGUCGAACGCGCUUCUGCAAUAGGAGCUAUGUUUUUGAAACAUAUGUGGUGUUGCAAUGGUCUAUGACAGGUAUACGCUUUGCAACAAAAUAUCACUUACGAAAUUUUUCUGCAACAAGACCUCGGUUGCAAAAAAAAUUGCAACAAAAACCCAGUUGCAAAAAGAUGCAAGAAAACAACUGUUGCAGAAAAAUCCGGCAACAAGACAUGUGUUGCAGAAGUAAUCCUGCAACAAGACCUUUGUUGCAAUGAUGAAGGCACGUUUGAGCGCUCGAUGUGGCUUUUAAAAAAAAUCAGCCGGCGGACGCGUAGCACACCCCUUAAAAAUUUGACGAAGUUGUAAAUAUUUGCUAAUUCUGUCUUUUAUUGUUUAGAGCUUUGCUGCUUGGUUGCAAUAUAAAUGGCUGAAUAUGUAUGCGGAAAUGCUCUUUGUGCCGCGUCGACGAGAGAACCAUAAAUCUGUCUGUUGCAUAAUCAGAGGCACCAAGUAAGCUUAAUGAGCUAUAAUUCAUGUUAAACCAUGUAUCAGCCCCCACAAAAAAAUCAUACUGUAAGCACCAAAAUAAGUAUCAUUGAAUAUUGAAGUAUAGAUGUAUACUUACUUUUAUUUUGUAGAAGAUGAGUUCAUUGCCCUUCAUGAUGUCGCAAAUCGACAAAGAUCAUCCAGACCUGGCAUAUCUGCAACGACGCAGUGCUGGUAAUUAGUUGCCUGGCCUGAAAUAGAAACACCGUUUGCUUCAAUUUGGACCUUAGAGCGUGUACAAUGUGUUGAGUCUUAAGAAUGACCCAACACAUAUAUUGUCUAUGAAAGGUACAUUUCUGUGAGCAAAUACUUCCUAAGAGUGUGUCUGUGCUCAUCGUCACUCAAUCUCCUUAAAUUUCUGUCACUUGCGAACUAAGAUACGUGGUUCCCUCAUCGCCACCAAAUUCCCCUAAAUUCAUUGUCCCUUGCAAAGUAAGAUACGCCGUUCCAAGAACUGAUUCAAAGUAGAUUUCUGUCAACACAAUACGUCUCCUCUUUCUUCCUUUUUUCCCUUAUUUAUGCACGAGACCAACUAGUUUAGACACGGUACGACUACAUUAUGAUUCAUAAAUUAGCAUUAUGUUUUAUACAUCAUUCAAUCAGACAAAUAAGAUGAACAUGCCAUAAUUUUACCACAUGGUACAUCAAGCAUCACAUACAAGGAAACAUAAACAACAACUUGAAGAAACAUCAUAUGCAACAUCACCACAAUCCUUGACCAUGUCAAAUCAUGGACAUACCUUCAAUCGUCGUGAGAAAGAUGCCCUUGCAGACCACCUUCCAAGGCCGCCGCCCUGGCAUCCAGGAUCCCGCGCCCACUCGUACCGCUACCCGACACCAAGGCCACCAGCCACCGUGGGACGGGACCGAAAGGCACCUCCUUUCACAUCCCCGGGAACCCCUACCCCACUUCCAUGACCGGAACAAGGGGAAGACCAACCACAUCGGAGAACCCUAGGCCAGACCCAUUAGAUCUGGAUGAGUACAAGCAUCGACGGCAUCCACGACGGGAAGACACCUCCUUACCACAUCCCCAUGAGCUCUGGGCUCUGGUCGUCCAACCAUGAUCGGCAUGGGGAGGAGUCACGCCCACAAGCCCCUAGGUCGUCCUGCUGGAUCUAGGCGAGGUCAGUUACCCAAGGCUUCUGCCCCGACUAGAUCUGGCCAAGGGAAAGCAACAUAAGGUGGACGACAGGCCACUACCUUGAUCACGACGGUCGCACCCGUCUUGGCCGUGGCCCCCAAGCGUGAGGG